UCAGGCCUAACACAUGCAAGUCGAACGAAGGCUUCGGCCUUAGUGGCGCACGGGUGCGUAACGCGUGGGAAUCUGCCCCUAGGUACGGAAUAACAGCGAGAAAUUGCUGCUAAUACCGUAUGAUGACGUAAGUCCAAAGAUUUAUCGCCUAGGGAUGAGCCCGCGUAGGAUUAGCUUGUUGGUGAGGUAAAAGCUCACCAAGGCGACGAUCCUUAGCUGGUCUGAGAGGAUGAUCAGCCACACUGGGACUGAGACACGGCCCAGACUCCUACGGGAGGCAGCAGUGGGGAAUAUUGGACAAUGGGCGAAAGCCUGAUCCAGCAAUGCCGCGUGAGUGAUGAAGGCCUUAGGGUUGUAAAGCUCUUUUACCCGGGAAGAUA
rnacentral:rRNA from 1 species